UGGACCUGUACCUGUGCGCGGUCACAGGCGGCAGCAGCGGCUGUCCGGGACUGGCGGCGCCUCAGCGCUGAAGAACUCCUCACUGUUUGGGUUUCGCUUCAGCGGCCUGCAGCUGCUAACGAGCUAACGAGCUGACUUCUCCUUCCGGCGGACCUCACCCUUCAUACUUCACCGAAAGCUCGAUGCUGAUGUCGUCUUGAGUAACUACGGAGCACGAUUUCCCGGAUUAGUUCGAGAUUCUCUCCCGCAAACCGUUUAAUCGGCGAUAUAAAGGCUGUUAGCUGUGGUGCUAACAGGCUAACGACGCUGUGAGGAUUCAGCGAGUUCGCUCGUCUUUUUUUCCUCUUCGCGACGAUUUUCGCCCAGAAAAGUGUUUUCUUCAGACUUUUCACCCGAAACACGUCGUAAAACUGAGAAAACCCUUCGUUUGCCUUUUUUCGGCGGAGGUUGUGAAGUCUUUUGAGGCGUAUUCACGAACAAAAGGGGGUGCCAGGAUGGUCUGCGAGCUCCUGCUCUCCUCUGUGUGGCUGCUGUUCGUCGUGUUCUGGGUGGAGACCAUCAGCGUUUGGCUGUUUCUCUGUCUGUUCUAUCAGGACAGAGCCUUCUACCACUGGGGUGACGGGGUCUUUGCUGAUGAUCCUGGUCAGAUGCUCUACAUGUUAAGCAGAGUGGAACGUUCUGAGCACACCCAGACCUGAGGAUGUGGGACAGCUGGGAACGUCAACCAACAGACCAAAACAUUCCAGGCAGCAGAGGGAUCACUGCGAUGGGGGUGAAAAUUGGCUUCCCGUCCACUUCUGCUGUCUUUCAACGACCUGCCCUGGGUGUGACGUGUCUUAAAGAUGCCCGCGGCUGAGGAUAGGAGCGUUUACGCUGAGCUUGAAGAGCUUAGAUGGGCACGGUGAAUGUAGAAUCUGUCAUGGUGUUUUAUAAAAUUGGGAACUCUGCCUGCAUUUCUGUUUCCUGUCCCCUCAGAAUUGGACCGGAAAAAAUCUCUGGGGGACGUUUUCUCUGUUCUGGCGUGUUCUCAAAUCGGGAUUGUUUGCUAAGCCGUCUUUCGAAGGCUACCAGCUUUUGAUUUGUUAUUCUUGCAGUUUAGGGGCCGAGCAGGUGGACCUAGUGAAGGUGGGCUCCUGUAAUGUCACGCCUCGUGUUAAAGCGGUGUUUUUAAAUUCGUAUGUAAUCCUGUUAAGGUUCAGAUCGGGGGCUCUCGCCUGUAACUCAAGCAACAGCUCUAUAGCUGAUUCGAUUCCACCUUCAGUGGUUAAUCCGUAGUAAUGCUUCACGUUUUUGCUCAGUUUGAGACUUUGAGUCUCAUUUUCACCUCCGAUCAGUACAAAGUGGGGCCUUAAAUGAAAAGUUUAGCUGUUGUUCUCGUCUUCAAAAUCGGAAAGCUUGAAACAAGGGCUGAACAAAUAAGUAAGAAAUAUGUAAAAUGUAAAAAAUGCUUAUUGCGAUUGCCUUAAAAGAAAAACACACUAGUGAAUCAAUAAUGUAACGUAGUUCAAGUUUAGCCUUAUUUUGACCAAACUUGCUUUGUUGCAUUACAUGAAUAUGAAGGUGCCACAUAAAACCAGAAAGAACGACUUGGGGUUCCCGUUCCCUUAAGAGCUUUUCAAUGGGACCAUACCUGUAAAUAAAAUGUUUAAAAAGCCUAAAGGUUCUAGAUAGUCCCCCCCCCCCCCCCCUAGAACCACACGUCUAAGCCAGGAACCAUUUAGGAGUCUUUAUUUUUGAGGGUGUCCAGAACCUCAUCUGGAGCUGUGAUUGGUCACGAUGCUUACGGCACACAAAUAGAAAAAAAACACUGAUUGGAUAGAGGCCUCAUUUGCAUAUUGAAACUUUUUGCUUUACUAAUAUUGCACAGUCCAGUAUUAGCAAUUAACAAACGGUGUGUUGUUCAGCAGUACUUGAAACCACAAAGGGACCAAGUUACUUGAGUAAAGAAUCUGGAUCAUUUAAAGCUGCACUAUGUAAAAAAGAAGCAUCACUACUGAGUCAGGGGGUUAAAAACAGGCUAAAACAUGCCGCGAGUCGCCCCUGCAAAGCCUGAAAUAAUCAUUUAAAAGUCGGAGGGAAUUUUUCGCUCCACGUCAUACGUCUUUACAUAUUAUCGUCACACAUACAGUCUCAAAAAGAAGGUCAGCCUCGAUGUUUAAGUCGCAAAUGACCUCAAAAUUCAUUCACAUCCUCAAUACGCCUGCAACAAACAGUUUUCUUUGUUGAUUGAUCUGUAGAUUUUUUGUAUUUAUUUUUUUUGUCAAUUCAUUUAUUAGUUGUUUGGUUUAUAAAACGUCUGAAAAUGGUGAAAAACGUCGACACCACAAAGGUAUUCAGGUUGGUGUCACAGAGGAAUAAAGAAACCAGAAAAUAUUUCAAUUUAAGAAGCAGGAAACCGAAUUUUAACUUUUUUUGUCUUCAAAAAUUACUCAAACCAAUCAAUCAAAUAUCAAAGCAGUUGCAGAUUAAUUUAAUAGUCAACAGCUAAUCGAUUCAGUGUUGCAGCUCUAAUCCUCGGAAGAAGCGUCCUUCACCUUCAGUUUUGACUGAUCUUUCGUCAGAUUCAGUCGUUUGGAGAAGGGGUCCGAAGCAGAACACACGCUACAAAAUGUUCUGUACGUUGGGAGUGCAGUAACACGUUUCCACCAGAGGGGUCUCCAAAUCCCCAAAUCUUACAUAGCUUUAGCUCCAACACCAGGCCUCGAGAUUGUGGAGGGUAAUUUGUGCCGAAUUGAGAAAUCGCUGCAGUGGAGAAAUGUGAAAUGCAAGGUCCACAGCAUCACUUUUCCACAGGUGAUGUGCAGAAUAUGUGCCAACAUUAUGUUUUCGUCGCUUAACCGCUGUACCGGAAAACAUGCAUGAGGAUUUGCAUUUUAAAAACGAAAUGUCAGAAUUGUACGACGGCAUUUUAGGGCAACUGUAAUGUAAAAAAAGACUUGGAGAAUAAAGUCGUAGUAAAUGGAGGAUAAAGUGGUCUGACUGUAGGGGGGCUGCUCUAACACUUUGGGGUCUCGGUCGCUGCACUGGCGCCAGAGCUCCACUCACUCCCGUCUCUCUGUGGGUCAUUUUGAUCAUCAUCCUUGCUGUCUGGGAAACUUCAUGCCCUCUUUGAAUGGGGGGAGAUGGUCGUGUAGACGACCCUGCCUGAGACUCUCCUUCAACAACACAGACAGGCGGUUUCCUCCGAGUCCGUCUGGCUCUUUAUUCUAGAUAAACAGUUUCUUGCUCAGCUGUUUCAGCCGUUUCUUAUACUAAUAACAGGCUGGUGAUAAAGUGUAACUCCACCAACUCUGCGCCCUUCGUUUAACACGGAGGUGCUGCCUUCCCCCUGCAAAGGCCACAAUAUUGCGACCUUUCCUGGUAUUAAUGCCACUUUAAUGUCGUAAUUCCACAACUUUUUUUUCUCAUAAUAUUACAACUUCAUUCUUGAAAUGUCACAACUUUAUUCUCAAAGUCUCGUAGUUUUAUUUUUAUUAAAAGUGGCCCUAAAACGCCGUCAUAGGAUUGAAAACAAUGCGCCUUGAAACGUAAUAAAGGCCUGACUGUGUUACUUUGCAUUAUGCAGUACUAAAUCGACGUAGUGGAUCUUUUACUUUUCAUUUUGCCGUGUUUUCUGCAUGUUGCUGCUUAAAUUCAGUCCCGUGUGUGCACUGCAUUUCACCGUUUUGGUUCCAUUUCAGUGAGGCAGAUACAAAAUCGAGGUCAAGCUACGUGAAAAACAGUGUUGUGGGGGUUUCGCUUUUCAUUUUGGCAGGUGUUCUGCACGUCAUCAGCAGAAAAGUAAUGUCGUCUGUGGAUGGUUUUCCUUCUGUGGUGUUUACCUUUCAUCUUGGCAUGAUUUCCUCUCUAUAUGAGACAAAAAUGUGGGUGGGCCAACAAAUCCGAGCAUCACUGAUCAUAGAGAUCUAGUCCAGAUCGAGACGUCCUGGCCUUCCGUCAGGCGAAGGUAGAGAUCUGACGUUUAAUAUUCAUUCCGCUUGGUUCAUGUACCUUUUUGUAUGUGUUCUGUUUAAAUAUGAGUGAAUAUAAGUUUAAACCUGUCGUGCGAUUCUUGAUGAAUUUUGUAACUGAGCUGUAGAGAUGAUGAUAUAUGAUUGUUUUUCAUGGUGAUGGUGCAACAGUGUUUGCACUGUUUCGGACUUUUGUUCUUUAGGAAUUUCCUUCAUAAAUAUUUUUUCUAAGCAAUAAAAUCAACAUAUUUGGCAAAUUAA